UACGUAGGGUGCGAGCGUUGUCCGGAAUUACUGGGCGUAAAGAGCUCGUAGGUGGUUUGUCGCGUUGUUCGUGAAAACUCACAGCUUAACUGUGGGCGUGCGGGCGGUACGGGCAGACUGGAGUACUGCAGGGGAGACUGGAAUUCCUGGUGUAGCGGUGGAAUGCGCAGAUAUCAGGAGGAACACCGGUGGCGAAGGCGGGUCUCUGGGCAGUAACUGACGCUGAGGAGCGAAAGCGUGGGGAGCGAACAGG
rnacentral:rRNA from 1 species